rnacentral:rRNA from 1 species
UACGUAGGGUCCGAGCGUUGUCCGGAUUUAUUGGGCGUAAAGAGCUCGUAGGCGGUCUGUUGCGUCCGCUGUGAAAACUCGGGGCUUAACCCCGAGCCUGCAGUGGAUACGGGCAGACUAGAGGUAGGUAGGGGAGAAUGGAAUUCCCGGUGUAGCGGUGAAAUGCGCAGAUAUCGGGAGGAACACCGGUGGCGAAGGCGGUUCUCUGGGACGGUACUGACGCUGAGACGCGAAAGCGUGGGGAGCGAACAGG